rnacentral:rRNA from 1 species
GAUGAACGCUGGCGGCGUGCUUAACACAUGCAAGUCGAGCGAAGCACUUAAGAAUGAUUCUUCGGAUGAAGACUUUUGUGACUGAGCGGCGGACGGGUGAGUAACGCGUGGGUAACCUGCCUCAUACAGGGGGAUAACAGUUAGAAAUGGCUGCUAAUACCGCAUAAGACCACGGUACUGCAUGGUACAGUGGUAAAAACUCCGGUGGUAUGAGAUGGACCCGCGUCUGAUUAGGUAGUUGGUGAGGUAACGGCCCACCAAGCCGACGAUCAGUAGCCGACCUGAGAGGGUGACCGGCCACAUUGGGACUGAGACACGGCCCAGACUCCUACGGGAGGCAGCAGUGGGGAAUAUUGCACAAUGGGCGAAAGCCUGAUGCAGCGACGCCGCGUGAAGGAUGAAGUAUUUCGGUAUGUAAACUUCUAUCAGCAGGGAAGAAAAUGACGGUAC